rnacentral:rRNA from 1 species
GACGAACGCGGCGGCGUGCUUAACACAUGCAAGUCGAACGAAGAGCGAUGGAAGCUUGCUUCUAUCAAUCUUAGUGGCGAACGGGUGAGUAACGCGUAAUCAACCUGCCCUUCAGAGGGGGACAACAGUUGGAAACGACUGCUAAUACCGCAUACGAUCUAAACUCGGCAUCGAGGAUAGAUGAAAGGUGGCCUCUACAUGUAAGCUAUCACUGAAGGAGGGGAUUGCAUCUGAUUAGCUAGUUGGAGGGGUAACGGCCCACCAAGGCGAUGAUCAGUAGCCGGUCUGAGAGGAUGAACGGCCACAUUGGGACUGAGACACGGCCCAGACUCCUACGGGAGGCAGCAGUGGGGAAUCUUCCGCAAUGGACGAAAGUCUGACGGAGCAACGCCGCGUGAGUGAUGACGGCCUUCGGGUUGUAAAGCUCUGUUAAUCGGGACGAAAGGCCUUCUUGCGAAUAGUGAGAAGGAUUGACGGUACCCGGAAUAGAAA